UACGGGGGGUGCGAGCGUUGUCCGGAAUCACUGGGCGUAAAGGGCGCGUAGGUGGUUUGAUAAGGGUGUGGUGAAAGUCCGGAGCUCAACUCCGGAUCUGCCGUGCCGACUGUCAAACUCGAGGGCUGUAGAGGCAGACGGAAUUCCGGGUGUAGCGGUGGAAUGCGUAGAGAUCCGGAGGAAGACCGGUGGCGAAGGCGGUCUGCUGGGCAGUUCUGACACUGAGGCGCGACAGCGUGGGGAGCAAACAGG
rnacentral:rRNA from 1 species